GCCGCUCUGGCCGGCUCUCUCGGUGUCCUGGAGGACCUGGCUGGCUGCGCCGGAAGCUGGGCUCAGACGGCGGGGCGGUCGCGGGCGGUGAGGAGUUUGUUGCCCCACUGAGGAUUCGUCAUGAAGACAUCCAGUACGUGGAAAACAAAUAACAGCAACAGUAACUCAUUUUUAAAUAUUAAAAUUGCUGGAGAACACGACGGAUCCUGCCGCUGUUCGGCUGUCCUGGUCAAGUCAGGGACCCUAGGGCUCUGCACCGUGCCCUGCACACAACCCCCCGGAAAGAGGCUCUGAUGUGUUCCCUGCUGCAAGGCUGGCUGCAUAAUCUGUGGGGCCCAGGCAAACUCAAAGUGCAAAGCUCCUUGUUCAGAAAACAGAGGGAAGGUGCCAUUAAGAACCGUGCUGGUAAAAACAAAUGCUGCACAAAGGGAACUUGUUUCAUAUGCACAAGUUCUUCCACUCUCGGCCUGGGACUCACUGAUGAGUGAGGAAGGACUGAAGGCAAAAGAACUAUGGACUGGCCUUUCGGCAUACUCCGUUGUCUAACAUAAAGAAGUGCAUGAAUAAGAACAUACAUGAUAUGUGUGAUGGCUAAUACUGAGUGGCAGCUUGAUUGGAUUGAAAGAUGCAAAGUAUUGAUCCUGGAUGUGUCUGUCAGGGUGUUGCCAAAGGAGAUUAGCAUUUGAGCAGUGGGCGGGGAGGCAGACCUACCCUUAAUCUGGUGGGCACCAUCUAAUCAGCUACCAGUGCUAGAAUAUAAAGUAGGCAGGAAAAAUGUGAAAAGAGAGACGGGCCUAACCUCCCAGCCUACAUCUUUCUCCCUGGCUGGAUGCUUCCUGCCCUUGAACAUCGGACUCCAGGUUCUUUAGUUUUGGGACUUGGACUGGCUCUCCUUUCUCCUCAGCUUGAAAACUGCCUAUUAUGGGACUUGCGAUCAAGUAAGUUAAUACUUAUAAACUCCUCUAGAGAAACCUGACUAAUACAGCAUGGUUCCUUUAUGUUUCUUAAGACACCAUUGCCGCCUUUCUGCCUUCAAAGCAAGUUUAGGCUCUAAGGGGAAAAGUGCGGCCCUUCAGGGAUGUCAGCAUCCAGCUCACGCAGCUGUAGAUAUAGCAUGAGAACCUUGUGCUCACUUUGAGUCUUGGUGGCCUCCCAACAUCAGGGGUCCACAGGGAAUUCAAUGUGCAUGGUGCAUCGUGAAUGCUUUAUGGAACAUCGGUGGCCACACACAGAGGCCUGUUUCCCUGGCUCAUGUUUCAUUGUGUUAAUGGACCUCAGUUACAAACCACAAGUUUACAGAUAAAAUUAUUAAACAUUUCAAGACAGAAACAGCCAUCCUUAAUUAUUUUUACAUAAUCCACAACAUCUCUGUGAAGACGAAAACACUACGAUGUUCUUCAGGGAAUUGCCAACACUAAAUAGAAGGGCAGAUAAGGAGAUCAACAUUUGAGUCAGUGGGCUGGGAACAGCCGCUGACAUACAUGGUUAGCAGAACUAGAGAUAUUUUGGAGAAAUAAAGCAACAAAGUUUCAUCCACAGCUGCAAGGAAGGGAAGGACUGAAGGCAGUGUGAUUCUAAGAUCAUUUGACAGAACCAUGAUGAGCAGGAUUUUGACGCUUGUAAUAGCCUCUAACCCUUUAGGGGCAGAGAAAUAUUCAGUAGAAGCCCUGCUUGACAAUUUGAUCAUUUAAAAGGAAAACUAUAAUGUGAAAGCUUUGGCAGGUGCUUUGGGCCUCUAAGAGGUGGAAACCUACAAAGGUGGCUCUUUGCUGAUUAGAAAAUUGCAGUGAGGCUUUGAAUACAUAUUACAGGUUAGAGGUAGAGUUGGGGUGUCACUUAAGGACCAAGCUGCUCCUUAGAAGACCAGUUUAGGAAUUUGGGAUUUGGAGGCUGGUUGCCAGAGAGAGUAGGAAGAGAGUCCUUGGGAGGCAGAGAGGAGUCUCUGGGAGCAGUUGGGGUCUGAGGUGAGACCCUGGCUUGAACACCAGGAACUCCAAGUGGCAGUGAAGCACUGAAGCGUCUUCGGAGCUGUGAUGGUUGUUAUUCAGUUUUAGGUUGUCACUGUACUGUGCUGGAACCACCUUUUCCCCCAGACUUUCGACAGUAAAUGGGAGAAGAGAGGGGGUACAGGAAAGGGCAUUGUGGUGUAAAAUGCUGUCAUCUCUGGAGGUGUGACUCAGAAGAGAGAUCAAGGCUGGGAAGAAGCAAGACAGUCAAAGAGAGGCAGCCAAAAGGACCCUCUGCUCCUGGAGAUGCUGGUGCUGCAGUGGGAAGGACUGUGUUUCUCAGUGCUCUUGCAGUGAGGAUGGGGUCAGCGGGCUGAAGGGAAGCAUGCUCUUCGGAGGCUGGGGGAUGGGCUCUCAGACCCGUUGCCACCCCCGGUCUUCCCCUUAUGCACCUUUUCCAUAACUCUUCUCUGGGGAAGCACAGUGAUUGAGGAGGCUAGAAAUUAUACUGGGACGGCUGGUACAGUUUGGACGUUUGUCCCCUCCAAAUCUCCUGUUGAAAUGUGAUCCCCAGUGUUGGAAGGGGGGCCUUGUGGGAGGUGAUUGGAUCAUGGGGAUGCAUCUGUCAUGAAUGGCUUAGUGCCAUCCACUUUGUGAUGAGUGAGUUUUCAACUCUGGCAGUUCAUGUGAGAUCUGGCUGUUUCAAAGAGCAGGGUAUCUCCUCUCUCUGUCUUAUUCCCUGUCUUGCCAUGUACCAUGUCUGCGCCCACUUCACCUUCCACCAUAAUUGAAACUUACUGAGGCUUCACCAGAAGCAGAUGCCAGCAUUAUGCUUCCUGUACAGCCAGCAGAAUCAUGAGCCAAGAUUGGGAAGAAGCAAGUCUGACUGCCCUCCUGAUUCACAAAGAGCAUUAAGAAAGCUGUAGUAGGCUGGGCCACAUAGCCCAGAGGGCUGAGCCUCCUUGCCUGCCUGCCCAUCCACCCUGGUUGUCCCAGUGGUAGGGCCUGGAAAACCUCUAAGGGGAGAGAACAGCUGGAGUUUCUGUUGAUGUGAAAAAGGCAGCUCUCUGCCUUGCACACCCACACUUCUUUUCCUAUAAAACUUCCUAGCAGCAAUUUGAGCUACCUGCGGAGGAGACAGGGCAGGAAGGGCGAGGGUCUGCCUCUGACCUGCCGUGUCCUUUGUAGGAAGCGGGUAGGCACCUUUCUGAGCUUCUUCUAUUCCCUACCCACACCCCCAGGCAGGGUUGGACGUGAAGGAGUUUUUUAACCUUUGUUUUCGUUUUUUAAAAAUAAAUCUGUAAAAUCUG